AGGAAACGGUGCGGAGGCUGCGGGGGGAGGUCGGCGCUGGGGCGUGGGAAGGCCGAGGCCGCUCUCCUGCCCCCAGGGAUGGGGGAAGCCAGGAGCCCCACAGGCUCUGGGGGAGGCUGAGGGGGCCUGGGUUUUCGAGGCUGCCUCUCCCUUCCCCUCGGAUGAAAAGCUGCAGCUUAAAAUGAGCUGGGGGGGGGGGGGGGGAUAACUGAGCUUCAGUUUACCUCGAAGUCUGGAGAAGCAGCAGAUAAAUUGUGGCACGAGGCUAGUAAGUGCUGGGCUGCCUGGCGCCGAUGGGGAUGGAUCGGGCACGAGCUUGACACAGGGGCAUCAAAACAUUUCCCAAGCCCAAUGGGCUUGUAAAUGCCAACCCCCUAUUUUAAAGCGACUCAACUAUGUGGGAACCCGUCAGAGAGCGAAAUUACCCGGAAAGUUUUGCCUUUGUCCUACAGGUCUAAGCAGCCCCCCAGCCCUGCAGCUCUCUAUCACCCCGAGCCUGGCCCCGAUCCCCCGGAGCCCGGCGCUGCCUGGGACAUCCCACAGCCCGCCAGCCCUCCACGGCCAGGUCAACCCCAGCCCCUCCGCGAAUUAAUCCCGAGCUCAAAAAUAGCCCUGCAGGAUUUCCUGCCUCCCCUCCCGCCACGCCGCAAGGCCGCCACACGUGCCAGCCGCAGCCCCGACCCAUCCUGUGCCCAUCAGCUCUGGGCACGGGCAUCGGCCGCCGUUGGUUUGUUCUCUACAGCCUCGCAAAUCCGCAGAGCCGAGGAGCAGCGGUUUCGGCUUCUGUUUAACAACCCGGCUCUUAUCAUCGCUCGCACAGCGCAGCCCGGGCGGAAGAUAAAGCGUUUCCACCGCGAUGGAUAAACAGAGAGAGAGCCUGCCGAGCUGCCCGGGGGCUGGGCAGGACCCUGCUGCCCGCGGCAGGAUGGGGCCCCCUGCCCCAGAUCAGCCUGGCUGUGCUGCAGCACACGUAGGGGAACCACCGGGGAAAUGUCAAUCUCUGAAUUUAAUCAAGAUCUUACACUUAAAACCCUUAGGAAGUACAGAGUGGGCCUUCUUAACUCCUCCACGGAUGGGAUGGUGGGUGAGGUGGCACAGUCACUAGAAAAAUGCCACGUUGGCUCUGACAGAUUAUGUUUGGUAGAAGGGACAGGGGGAAAAGCUCUAAUUUAUUCCCUAAUCCACCCAAAUAAAUUGGCUUAUCAAAGCCACAGUGUGCUUAUUUCGUGCAGGAGGGCUGGGGAGAGCUGUCCUGGAGCGUGCCCUGCCUGCGGCGGAUGGGAAGGUGAGCCCUCACCCGCGGGGACUGGAAAUCUCCAGGCUCAGGGCUCUUUGGGAAGAGCAGCACCGUUUGGGCUGCGUUCCCAAUUCUCAGCUUGGGGCCGGAUCCGUGCCUGAUCCCAUGAGUCCGACCCAAACCCCGGCUCCAGCCCCGGGGGCUGUUGGAGUCUGAGCUGGGAUGUCUGAGGAGUAACGAGGGGCGAUGCUGGUAGGCUCGGGUGGGGAUCUUCCGCGCAAGAAAAUAAAUAAAUAAAUAAAUGUGCUCCUGAGCCGUGGUCAGGAGGCAGGAGAAAAGCCGAAGGAGCCGUUCGCAGGCUCCUAGCAGCCUCUGCAGAGGGCAGGCUGGGGCUGCAGGAGCCGCCCUCGGCUUCCCUCCGAAAGCGACGGCUGGGGCAGGGGGUGCCGCGCACCUGCGCUCCCCGACACUUCCCUUUCCCCCCCGGCUGCUAAAUGAUACUUGGCUUCUUGGCUCCAGGUCGGAUAAUUAUUCCCAGCGAGGUAGACGUGUUCCAGAUGCACUCCUCCUUCCAUAACCGCGCUAAUGUUAUCAUAAGCCCCGAAGAAAUACCAUUUCCCAAGUUCCAGGCGGCCAUCUGGAUCGCGGCAGAGCUCUGCGGAGGGCUGCCAGCUUUCCCCUACGACGUUAUUAAGUUCUAGCAGGUAUUUCGUUUAUCGCUAUCCACCCACGGGCGACAUUUGGGGAGACGAGGCAGCAUCUCUCUUUCCUCUGGAGUUAAAGGUGCCGGGUCCUUUGUGAAACCCCGGGCGCCCGGAGCUGUUUCGGGCAGCCCUCCUGCAGACAGCACUUCCAGCGCUCAGGAUUUAGCCGUGGGUGGAUUUAGCCUGAUCUGUGAGAGGGUAAAAAGAACCAGAGCGGCCUGUCCCUAGGUAGACUGAGCCCUGAGCGUGUUUCCAAAACAGAACAUAAACAAUUUUAUUGUGG